rnacentral:rRNA from 1 species
UGCAUAUCCAAAAAGCGGAGGAAAAGAAACUAACAAGGAUUCCCCUAGUAACUGCGAGUGAAGCGGGAAAAGCUCAAAUUUAAAAUCUGGUGGUCUUUGGCCAUCCGAGUUGUAAUCUAGAGAAGUGUUAUCCGCGCUGGACCGUGUACAAGUCCCCUGGAAUGGGGCGUCAUAGAGGGUGAGAAUCCCGUCUUUGACACGGACUACCAGGGCUUUGUGAUGCACUCUCAAAGAGUCGAGUUGUUUGGGAAUGCAGCUCAAAAUGGGUGGUAAAUUCCAUCUAAAGCUAAAUAUUGGCGAGAGACCGAUAGCGAACAAGUACCGUGAGGGAAAGAUGAAAAGAACUUUGGAAAGAGAGUUAAACAGUACGUGAAAUUGUUGAAAGGGAAACGCUUGAAGUCAGUCGCGUCUGCCAGGGAUCAACCUUACUUUUGUGAGGCGUACUUCCUGGUUGAUGGGUCAGCAUCAGUUUUGGUCGCUGGAUAAAGGUCAGAGAAAUGUGGCACCUUCGGGUGUGUUAUAGUCUUUGAUCAGAUACAGUGGCUGGGACUGAGGAACUCAGCGCCGCAAGGCUGUCUUAGGAUGCUGGCAAAAUGGCUUUAAUCGACCCGUCUUGAAACACGGCCAAAGGGAGGUCA